rnacentral:rRNA from 1 species
AGCCCGCAUGGGGAGGGGAGCAAAGGGAACCCCGACUUGUCGGGGGACCGCUGAGGGAUGGGCCCGCGGCCGAUUAGCUAGUUGGUAGGGUAACGGCCUACCAAGGCGACAAUCGGUAGCCGGCCUGAGAGGGUGGCCGGCGACACUGGGACUGAGAGAUGGUCCAGACUCCUACGGGAGUUAGCAUCAGGGAAUCUUGCGCAAUGGGCGAAAGCCUGACGCAGCGACGCCGCGUGGGUGAUGAAGGCCUUCGGGUCGUAAAGCCCUGUUAGGGGGAAAGAAAUCCCGCUGUACUUGUACGGCGGGGCUGACGGUACCCCCAGAGGAAGCCCCGGCUAACUACGUGCCAGCAGCCGCGGUAAUACGUAUGGGGCGAGCGUUGUCCGGAUUUACUGGGCGUAAAGAGCGCGUAGCGGUCGGGCAGGUCGCCGGUGAAAUCCCCCGGCUCAACCGGGGAACGGCUGGCGAAACCGCCUGGCUAGAGUGCGGGAGAGGGCAGCGGAAUUCCUGGUGUAGCGGUGAAAUGCGUAGAUAUCAGGAGGAACGCCCGUGGCGAAGGCUGCUGCCUGGAACGCCACUGACGCUGAGGCGCGAAAGCUAGGGGAGCGAACGGGAUUAGAUACCCCGGUAGUCCUAGCCGUAAACGAUGGGCACUAGGUGUUGGGAGCAUCGACCCUCCCAGUGCUGGUAUGCUAACGCGUUAAGUGCCCCGCCUGGGGAGUACGGCCGCAAGGUUGAAACUCAAAGGAAUUGACGGGGGCCCGCACAAGCGGUGGAGCAUGUGGCUCAAUCGGAUGCAACGCCGGGAACCUUACCAGGGCUUGACAUCCUCUGACAGCCCCGGAAACGGGGUCUCUCCGAGCAAUCGGAGCAGAGUGACAGAUGGUGCAUGGCUGUCGUCAGCUCGUGCCGUGAGGUGUUUGGUUAAGUCCAGCAACGAGCGCAACCCUCACCAGGUGUUGCUAGCCCUGGCCUUCGGGUCGGGAAGCACUCUCCUGGAACUGCCCCGGUAACGGGGAGGAAGGCGGGGACGACGUCAAGUCGGCAUGCCUCUUACGCCCUGGGCUGCUCACGUGCUACAAUGGCCGGUACAGAGGGCUGCAAAGCCGCGAGGUGGAGCGAAUCCCUAAAGCCGGUCUCAGUUCGGAUUGAAGUCUGCAACUCGACUUCAUGAAGUCGGAAUCGCUAGUAACCGCAAAUCAGCAACGUUGCGGUGAAUACGUUCCCGGGCCUGUACACACCG